GACGAACGCUGGCGGCGUGCUUAACACAUGCAAGUCGAACGGAAAGGCCCUGCUUUUGUGAGGUGCUCGAGUGGCGAACGGGUGAGUAACACGUGAGUAACCUGCCCUUGACUUUGGGAUAACUUCAGGAAACUGGGGCUAAUACCGGAUAGGAGCUCCUGCUGCAUGGUGGGGGUUGGAAAGUUUCGGCGGUUGGGGAUGGACUCGCGGCUUAUCAGCUUGUUGGUGGGGUAGUGGCUUACCAAGGCUUUGACGGGUAGCCGGCCUGAGAGGGUGACCGGCCAUAUUGGGACUGAGAUACGGCCCAGACUCCUACGGGAGGCAGCAGUGGGGAAUAUUGCACAAUGGGCGGAAGCCUGAUACAGCAACGCCGCGUGCGGGAUGACGGCCUUCGGGUUGUAAACCGCUUUCGCCUGUGACGAAGCGUGAGUGACGGUAAUGGGUAAAGAAGCACCGGCUAACUACGUG
rnacentral:rRNA from 1 species